rnacentral:rRNA from 1 species
GACGAACGCUGGCGGCGUGCUUAACACAUGCAAGUCGAACGGAAAGGCCCUGCUUUUUUGUGGUGCUCGAGUGGCGAACGGGUGAGUAACACGUGAGUAACCUGCCCUUGACUUUGGGAUAACUUCAGGAAACUGGGGCUAAUACCGGAUAGGAGCUCCUGCUGCAUGGUGUGGGUUGGAAAGUUUCGGCGGUUGGGGAUGGACUCGCGGCUUAUCAGCUUGUUGGUGGGGUAGUGGCUUACCAAGGCUUUGACGGAUAGCCGGCCUGAGAGGGUGACCGGCCACAUUGGGACUGAGAUACGGCCCAGACUCCUACGGGAGGCAGCAGUGGGGAAUAUUGCACAAUGGGCGGAAGCCUGAUGCAGAAACGCCGCGUGCGGGAUGACGGCCUUCGGGUUGUAAACCGCUUUCGCCUGUGACGAAGCGUGAGUGACGGUAAUGGGUAAAGAAGCACGGGCUAACUACGUG